AAGUAAAACUUUGCGUAAAUUCUUGGUUGCUCCUUUCAGAGAAGGUUCUCUAUGAGGCACGGAGGCCUGUGAAUAGCAGCCAGUGGAACUGGCUAGUUCUAGGACUGCAAAUGGAAGAAAUAUUUAUGAGCAUUUUGAUCUUGCUAGUGAAACUGAAACCUCUAAGGUUUGCCAAGUGCGAGCUAGAUGAAUAAGGAGCCUACAUAGUCUGUCCAGAAACGUGUUCUUCACCUUUAUCGCUUAAACCUAGUACUUAAAUUAGGGGGUGAAAGCAAGUUCAGGUGGAGUUCUUUAUGCUGUUGUUAUCACACCUCUGACUACAGCAGAAUUGCUGUGUGAUAAGGACAAUUUAUUUCUUCCUCCUGCUCAUUUUUCACCAGGAGGAUGGUACAACCCCGGAACAGGCUGCCCAGGCAGGUGGAGGAUCGCUAUCCUGGGUGGAUCUCAAACCUCAAGCCAGACAAGCUCAUGGCUGAUCUGAUAUAACGCAGACGAUAGUUCCGCUUCAUGUGGGCGGCUGGGCUGGAGACUCUAGAUGUUCCAACUAACACUUCUUUGAUACUUCCUGAAUUAGCUACAGUAGCUAUCAGGGCCCCAAGAACCUUAAUUGUCCUGAUCGGCCUCAGCUGGACCCUCUACGCAUGCACCGUCUGCCCACAGCUGAGAAGCUCUCUUUAAACUCAGGCCAAGGCUUUUGGGCUUUGUUGAUUUAUGUUGUAGGUAUAUCUGCCUCCAGUCCUGCCUCUGGACCUUAACUGGACCUUGGACUCUUCUCCUGGAUAGGCCCCGUUGGACGUCCCUUGCAGUUUUGUCCCCAGUCCUGACUCUGGCCCUGUCUCCCGCUGCUCCUGAGUGCUUGCUUCCUCCCCCCACCCAUGGAUGGACCCUGAGCUUAACUCCUCAUCUAGAACUGCUGAGGAUGGCUGCUACCAGCACCUUGUGAGACCAUGCCCUGGCCGGUGGGGCUCUGACUGUCCUGCAGUCACCCUCAGCUCCUUCCUCGUGCGCCAGCCUUGCUCUUGUUGCUCCCCAACAGCAGUAUCAUUCCAGCCUGAAGUAGCUGAAACUGUUCCAGAACUGUAUAAAGCGGUAAUUUUAAUUGGAAAGACUUAACUAAUCUGUAUAGAUACCAAAGUGACUCCACCAGCAGUAAGACGAAUGAGACAGAUUUAAAGAUGAUAAGGGUACGAUGUUGUAAAAGAGGCCAUGUUCUUUUAUAUUUAAAAAUUUAGUAUCAGAAGUGGCCUUCCAGUCCCUAAAGGGGGCCUACAGGAAGGAUGGGGAAGGGACUCUUUAUCAGGGAAUGUUAUAAUAGGACAUGGGGUAACGGCCUCAAACUGGAAGAGGGGAGAUUUAGAUUGGAUAUUGGGAAGAAAUUGUUUGCUGUGAGGGUGGUGAGCCCCUGGCCCAGGUUGCCCAGAGAAGCUGUGGCUGCCCCAUCCCUGGAGGGGUUCAAGGCCAGGCUGGACAGGGCUUGGAGCAACCUGGUGUGGUGGGAGGUGUCCCUGCCCAGGGCAGGGGGUGGAAUGAGAUGAUCUUUGAGGUCCUUCUAACCCGAACCAUUCUGUGAUUUCCUCCCCCCCGUCAAGUGUGACUGUGCAAAAGCCAGACAGGACGGGAGAUACAAGUGAAGGCUUCUGGCAGGGCAGCCUGUCCCAAGGGAACAGGGUAUUCUCUGGAGCUGGCCAAGAUCCAGCAUCACUACCGUGCCAGAUGUUCAGUGCUGGCUCCAGAACUUCUGCUGGCACCGAAGGAUGAGAGCCUGGCAGUGCCAGUAUCUGCUGGGUGCACUCAUCAGACACGGUUGUGACCAUAGCCUUCAGGGGCUCUAGGGCACGAAUUGCCUUCUUCUGAUGAGCUAAAGAAAGCAGAGCUGUGGAUAACAUCACCAUGAAGACCUAUUCUGUCAUUUGGCUUUGUCUUGGAGGAGCUCCCAGCAACAUAACCUUUAUCGCGGAUCAAGGAUGUAUUUCAGACUGUUGAUACGUGUUUGGCAAUCUGGAGUCCCAGAGGAAGAGUCAGGAGCGGUCCUGUGCAAUGACAAGAAAGGAAAAUCAGGCUGGACGUGACCUGGGGAAGCAAUCCAGAGCCCAUGGUGAAUUUGCAGACGCUGCACUGGCACAACGUGACCACAUGCUCCACUUGAUAUCUGAGCAUCGGCUUCAACGGCCAGCGCGGUGUCACCUCGGGUGGCAGGUAGCUGUUAGACCUUCGGCAGGUCUAACUCUCCAGCCACCCGGUGGAGGCGUGCACAAGGUGAGCUGGACUAGCUUUCAGAGGAGGCCACCAAGGGCCGGCACAGCCUUGGGGUGGGAGAUGAUCGUAUCUGGUGGGCUGUUGGAUCUCCCCCAACCCCAGUGUAUAAAACAGCAGCCUCAAGCUGCUGCUCUGUGAGAUGUGGUUACAGCUCAGCAGUACUGAAAGGGGAGGUCCUGUUCCUCCCCCACCACAACAGGCUCCUGAUGGCUGCGUAGCUCUACUGUAUGCUGGACAACUCUCUGACCUGUCUGCUAAUUCAAGGAAAAACCUGCAGUUACUCAGUUUAGGCUGACUGAAAACAUAACGUGCGAGUUAACAUAGCCGGAGAGGCUGUGGAGUCUCCGUCUCCGGAGAUAUUCCAAACCCGCCUGGACGCGUUCCUGUGCAGCCUGCUCUGGGUGAGCCUGCUUUGGCAGGGGGUUGGACUAGAUGAUCUCCAAAGGUCCCAUUCUGUGAUUCAGCCCUCAGCAGGGGAGCAAUUCUGCAGCUGGCAGUGAGGAUGGAGACGGAAACCCCGAGCAGUUGGGUCAGGUCACCCAAGGAACCACACCUUUGGGUGAGAUUCCCUGAGACAUCAUGAGCUGAUCUAGCAGCUUACUGCUCUUGAAAAGCCAAACCCUCUCCUCCUCCCAGCCGCAUCCUCCCACUGUUUACCUCCUGCUGCUGCCACUACUCAUCAGACCUUUUUAUAAGCUCCUUUAAGGCAUCACCUCAGCAGAAAAUGAACCCAGCGUCAUCUUUUGAUUUUGCUCAGUGAUCAGCACAAUGACAUAGACAAGAGAAGAUUGUAUCUGGUGCAACGUGCUUUCAUGGCACGGUUCCACUGGCAGGACAAAGGAAGCUGGGUAAGCUUGUGCUGUGCACCUGGCUACAGGGAGGGACGGAAAAGCCACGGCAACUGGGAGCCACGCCUGAGAAGCUCAGACUGCGCUGGCCAGGGACACCCCAGGAGCAAGGAGCGGGAUGAAGUGGCCUACGCUCAGAAUUGCAGAGUGUUUGGAAAGUCUCCAAUAUAUAACAGACCAUUACACACAUAGUGACUCGUGUUUUAGAAUCCAAAGGGCACUUUUCAUGCAUUUAAAUAAAAUAAGGUUCCCAGCUAUCCAGAAAUGCUUCUUCUUAUCUGCAGCUAAACUUGCAACCAGUUUGAUACUUAAAGUACUGAGCACUCUCUGCUUCCAUUUGCUUUCAUAAAGGCUGAGUGCA